rnacentral:rRNA from 1 species
CCUACGGGUGGCAGCAGUGAGGAAUAUUGGUCAAUGGACGAGAGUCUGAACCAGCCAAGUAGCGUGAAGGAUGACUGCCCUAUGGGUUGUAAACUUCUUUUAUAUGGGAAUAAAGUGUUCCACGUGUGGGAUUUUGUAUGUACCAUAUGAAUAAGGAUCGGCUAACUCCGUGCCAGCAGCCGCGGUAAUACGGAGGAUCCGAGCGUUAUCCGGAUUUAUUGGGUUUAAAGGGAGCGUAGGGGGAUUGUUAAGUCAGUUGUGAAAGUGUGCGGCUCAACCGUAAAAUUGCAGUUGAAACUGGCAGUCUUGAGUACAGUAGAGGUAGGCGGAAUUCGUGGUGUAGCGGUGAAAUGCUUAGAUAUCACGAAGAACUCCGAUUGCGAAGGCAGUUCACUGGACUGCAACUGACACUGAGGCUCGAAAGUGUGGGUAUCAAACAGGAUUAGAUACCCCUGUAGUC